UUGUUGACGAUGAAGGGGACAGUAGCUCUUUCACCGCUUAUUUCAGCGAGUCGGGGAUGGUGGAAGCCUGGCAUAAGCGAAAGAGUGAAGAUCACCCCGGAGUUCCAUGCUGAACGAACAAGUAGGCAAUGGCGUGUCAUUCACGUUACGAAUGCAGAGUGGGCUAUGGCAUGUAUACAUAGCCAAUAAGGGUGGUACCGCGAGACCGUUCUCGUCCCUUUU
rnacentral:ncRNA from 1 species